rnacentral:hammerhead_ribozyme from 1 species
AUCCGGCUGAUGAGUCUUAAAUAGGACGAAAUGUACAACUUGGAU